rnacentral:rRNA from 1 species
AGAACGAACGCUGGCGGCAUGCCUAACACAUGCAAGUCGAACGAACCCUUCGGGGUUAGUGGCGCACGGGUGCGUAACGCGUGGGAAUCUGCCCUUUGCUUCGGAAUAACUCAGGGAAACUUGUGCUAAUACCGGAUGAUGUCUUCGGACCAAAGAUUUAUCGGCAAGGGAUGACGCCCGCGUAGGAUUAGGUAGUU